GACCGCGUAGCUCAGUUGGCAGAGCAUUGGGACUAAUUCCAAAGGUCGUAGGUUCGAUUCCCACCAUGGUCA